GUCCACGCCGUAACGGUGGUGCUAGGUGUAGGCGGUAUUCCACGCCGUCUGUGCCGCAGCUAACGCAUUAAGCACCCGCCUGGGAGUACGGCCGCAAGGCUAAACUCAAAGGAAUUGACGGGCCCGCACAAGCGGCGGAGCAUGUGGCUUAAUUCGACGCAACGCGAAGAACCUUACCAAGGCUUGACAUGCAGGGAAAUCUCCCAGAGAUGGGAGGUCCGCAAGGGUCCUGCACAGGUGGUGCAAUGGUUGUCGU
rnacentral:rRNA from 1 species